rnacentral:rRNA from 1 species
GACGAACGCUGGCGGCGCGCCUAACACAUGCAAGUCGAACGGAGCUGAGGGAAGCUUGCUUUUCUUAGCUUAGUGGCGAACGGGUGAGUAACGCGUGAGUAACCUGCCCUGGAGUGGGGGACAACAGUUGGAAACGACUGCUAAUACCGCAUAAGCCCACGAUCCGGCAUCGGAUUGAGGGAAAAGGAUUUAUUCGCUUCAGGAUGGACUCGCGUCCAAUUAGCUAGUUGGUGAGGUAACGGCCCACCAAGGCGACGAUUGGUAGCCGGACUGAGAGGUUGAACGGCCACAUUGGGACUGAGACACGGCCCAGACUCCUACGGGAGGCAGCAGUGGGGGAUAUUGCACAAUGGGGGAAACCCUGAUGCAGCGACGCCGCGUGGAGGAAGAAGGUUUUCGGAUUGUAAACUCCUGUCGUUAGGGACGAUAAUGACGGUACCUAACAAGAAAGCACCGGCUAACUACGUG